rnacentral:ncRNA from 1 species
GCUGCCCACGGGGGGAGCCGCGACGGAGCGGCUGAGAGGUUCCCGGCCCGGAACGACCCCUAGAACCUGAUCCGGCUCGCACCGGCGUAGGGAACGUGUACCG